AAGGGAGAACAGAAAAUAGUAAGCACUGCUAAUCCUUACCCUCCCCAGUUAAAAUCCGGGGCUUCCUUG
rnacentral:tRNA from 4 species